UUUGAUUAGAGAUAUUUAUAAAUAAAUAGAUACAAAUACGGAUACAUGAAUGUAUAUUCGCCCGCCAAUAUAUUUAUCGAAUAGCGGAUAUUAGUGUUGGAAUAUGGAGCAGAAUUAACGAGAAGAAUAACACAGUAAAUUGUAACAACUUAGCUAGAAACCGACGAAAGCCGAGGCGUAACAAAAUUAUUGUCCUAAAAAGUGAUUUUGCCCCCACUGAUAAUAAUUAUAUGUACAAAUGGGCUGCUGACGAUCACCCUCCAUGAUUCAACGGUGAAGCCUCCGAUCGUGUGUACUCACAGAAAGAGACUUUGGACUUGUCUAUGUGGAUUGCCCGAUUACAGAGUAUAUGUAUAUAGAAGGAAAAACAGAAGAAGAAAAGAUUGUAGUAUGCGUCUUGUCUCUUCUGAAGAACAGAAUUGGAAUAUAUAUAAUUAAGAAGAAGAAGAACGUUGAAAAAGACGUUGGGAAAUCAGUAACGUAAAAGGGAACUAAUUAACGUGAACGUUGGAGAGAAAAAAUAACGUUAAUGACGUUUUCUAGAAACGGAAAAGAAAUAAAAGUUAGGGAUUUAAGCAAUGCAACUCCAAGAGCAACCUUCAUACGAAGGUUCCAAGACACCAAGGUUCCAAGUUAAUUUCUUCUUCCUUUAACCCUGCAGUUCAGCGAAAAUGAAUUAUAAACCUUCACGAGCUGCACACAAAAAAAGGAGCAGAUCUGAGUGUGAAAAGCUGGAAAGGAAAAAAGAAGAAGCAGACCUGAGUGUGAAGAAGGUUUGGAGAGAGGGAGAGAGCACUGUACGACAAAAUACAAUAAUG
rnacentral:lncRNA from 1 species